CCUACGGGGGGCAGCAGUGGGGAAUAUUGGACAAUGGGCGAAAGCCUGAUCCAGCCAUGCCGCGUGUGUGAAGAAGGCCUUCGGGUUGUAAAGCACUUUCAGUGGGGAAGAAAGCCUUGGGGCUAAUACCCUCGAGGAAGGACAUCACCCACAGAAGAAGCACCGGCUAACUCCGUGCCAGCAGCCGCGGUAAUACGGAGGGUGCGAGCGUUAAUCGGAAUUACUGGGCGUAAAGCGCGCGUAGGCGGUCUGAUAAGCCGGUUGUGAAAGCCCCGGGCUCAACCUGGGAACGGCAUCCGGAACUGUCAGGCUAGAGUGCAGGAGAGGAAGGUAGAAUUCCCGGUGUAGCGGUGAAAUGCGUAGAGAUCGGGAGGAAUACCAGUGGCGAAGGCGGCCUUCUGGACUGACACUGACGCUGAGGUGCGAAAGCGUGGGUAGCAUACAGGAUUAGAUACCCUGUAGUC
rnacentral:rRNA from 1 species